AUAACAAACAUGUAGAUACAGAGAACAGAGUAAUGGUUACCAGAGGGGGUGGGGAUGGGUAAAGGGGGUCAAUAUGGUGAUGCGUGGAAAGUAAACUCUUGGUGGUAAGCUGCUGUAGUGGAUACAGAAGUAUAAUGUUGUGCACAAGAAGCUUAUAUAAUGUUAUAAAAUCAAUGUUACCUCAAUAAAAAAAAUUUUUUUAAGAAUUUUCUUUUCAUCAUCUCCCAGACCUACAUGGGCCUUCUUGUCAUUCCUCCCUCCUGCCUGGUACCUUCCCCUGCAUGAUGGCAUGGACAUUCUGGGUACAGUUACCAACCAGGAAUCCAUUAUUAAAUCCUGGACUUAGAAGGAAUCUAAGACAUGUGUAGUUGUCUGUUUCUAUUCAAAUCCUCCGAAAGAAAUUUAAGACUGUCCUCUGGAGGCAGGUGUGCCAAGCAGCGCUCCGCACCGGGGAUGCACCACACUGUGUUUAACCACUCACCCACGGAAAGGCGUCUGGGUUGUUUCCAGUUUGGGGCUAUGAUGAAUAAAACUGCUGUGACAUUUGUGCACAGACUUUCGUAUGAACAUAAGUUUCCUUUUCUCUGGGACAGAUGCCCAAGAGCACAAACCCUCGUCGUAUGUUGUGGCAUGGAUGAUGUUUCCAAGGUACAUCCAUGUAACAUGUAGCAGCAGCCCAUUCCUUUUAAGGCUGAAUGAUAUUCCACUGUACGUAUACAGUCAUCCCUCGGUAUCUGCAGUGGACUGGUUCCAGGACACCCCUCGGCUAGCAAAAUCCAUGAAUGCUCAAGUCCUUCAUAUGGCCUAGCGUUUGCAUAUAACCUACACAACCUCUCAGGUACUUUAAAUCAUCUCUAGGUUACUUAGAAUGCCUAAUACAAUGCCAAUGCUAUAUAAAAAGUUGCCAGGGCGAGGCAAGUUCAAGUGUGGCUUUUUGUAACUUUCUGGAAUCUUUUUUCAAAUAUUUUGGAUCUGCAUUUGUUAAAUCCAGGGAUAUGGAACCCAUAGAUACAGAGUGCUGACUGUAUACCGUGUCUUGUUUAUCCAUUCAUCUGUUGAUGGACAUUAGGUUGUUUCUACCUUUUGGCCAUUGUGAACAAUGCUGCUGUGAACAGUGGUGUACAAAUAUCUAUCUGAGUCCCUGCUUUCAACUAUUUGCGGUAUGCACCUAGAAGCUUAAUUACUGGAUCAUAUUGCAAUCCUAUGUGUAACUGUUUGAAGAACUCCCAAGCUUUUCCACAGUGGCUGCACCAUUUUAUGAUCCCAUCAGCAAUGCAGACAGAUUCGAAUUUCUCCACAUCCUCACCAAUGUUCGUAAUUUUCCUUUUUUUCAAUAAUAUCCAU